GAUGAACGCUGGCGGCGUGCCUAAUACAUGCAAGUCGAGCGAACGGACGAGAAGCUUGCUUCUCUGAUGUUAGCGGCGGACGGGUGAGUAACACGUGGAUAACCUACCUAUAAGUCUGGGAUAACUUCGGGAAACCGGAGCUAAUACCGGAUAAUAUUUUGAACCGCAUGGUUCAAAAGUGAAAGACGGUCUUGCUGUCUCUUAUAGAUGGAUCCGCGCUGCAUUAGCUAGUUGGUAAGGUAACGGCUUACCAAGGCAACGAUGCAUAGCCGACCUGAGAGGGUGAUCGGCCACACUGGAAGUGAGACACGGUCCAGACUCCUACGGGAGGCAGCAGUAGGGAAUCUUCCGCAAUGGGCGAAAGCCUGACGGAGCAACGCCGCGUGAGUGAUGAAGGUCUUCGGAUCGUAAAACUCUGUUAUUAGGGAAGAACAGAUGUGUAAGUAACUGUGCACAUCUUGACGGUACCUAAUCAGAAAGCCACGGCUAACUACGUG
rnacentral:rRNA from 1 species